UGGGGAAUAUUGCACAAUGGGCGCAAGCCUGAUGCAGCCAUGCCGCGUGUGUGAAGAAGGCCUUCGGGUUGUAAAGCACUUUCAGCGAGGAGGAAGGUGGUGAGCUUAAUACGCUCAUCAAUUGACGUUACUCGCAGAAGAAGCACCGGCUAACUCCGUGCCAGCAGCCGCGGUAAUACGGAGGGUGCAAGCGUUAAUCGGAAUUACUGGGCGUAAAGCGCACGCAGGCGGUUUGUUAAGUCAGAUGUGAAAUCCCCGGGCUCAACCUGGGAACUGCAUUUGAAACUGGCAAGCUAGAGUCUCGUAGAGGGGGGUAGAAUUCCAGGUGUAGCGGUGAAAUGCGUAGAGAUCUGGAGGAAUACCGGUGGCGAAGGCGGCCCCCUGGACGAAGACUGACGCUCAGGUGCGAAAGCGUGGGGCAGCAAACAGGAUUAGAUACCCUGGUAGUCCACGCUGUAAACGAUGUCGAUUUUGGAGGUUGUGCCCUUGAGGCGUGGCUUCCGGAGCUAACGCGUUAAAUCGACCGCCUGGGGAGUACGGCCGCAAGGUUAAAACUCAAAGGAAUUGACGGGGUCUAGCUG
rnacentral:rRNA from 1 species